rnacentral:tRNA from 1 species
UGGAAUGUAGCUCAGUGAUAGAGCAUUUGCCUAACAUGCAAAAGGCUUGGAUUUAAUUCUCUUUCAA